rnacentral:rRNA from 1 species
GAUGAACGCUGGCGGCGUGCCUAACACAUGCAAGUCGAACGGACUUUGAUGAAAUCUAGUGAUUCAAAGUUAGUGGCGGACGGGUGAGUAACGCGUGGGUAACCUGCCUCACACUGGGGGAUAACAGUUAGAAAUGACUGCUAAUACCGCAUAAGUGCACAGUACCGCAUGGUACAGUGUAAAAAACUCCGGUGGUGUGAGAUGGACCCGCGUCUGAUUAGCUAGUUGGCGGGGUAACGGCCCACCAAGGCGACGAUCAGUAGCCGGCCUGAGAGGGUGAACGGCCACAUUGGGACUGAGACACGGCCCAAACUCCUACGGGAGGCAGCAGUGGGGAAUAUUGCACAAUGGGGGAAACCCUGAUGCAGCAACGCCGCGUGAGUGAAGAAGUAUUUCGGUAUGUAAAGCUCUAUCAGCAGGGAAGAAAAUGACGGUACCUGACUAAGAAGCUCCGGCUAAAUACGUGCCAGCAGCCGCAGUAAAAC